GCACCUGAAUCUUUCCCGAUCCUGGCUGUGCAGUGCAGGCCUGGGGACAAAUGGUGCUACAGAAGCGCACAGCAAAUCCAGGCAAAUUCUCUCAUAAAGAAACUUGUCUCUACAGCUUUGCAACAUUG
ensembl:snoRNA